AGAGUUUGAUCAUGGCUCAGAUUGAACGCUGGCGGCAUGCCUUACACAUGCAAGUCGAACGCGAAAGGGGGGCAACCCCCGAGUAGAGUGGCGGACGGGUGAGUAAUACAUCGGAACGUGCCCAGUAGUGGGGGACAACCUCGAGAAAUCGAGGCUAAUACCGCAUACGACCUACGGGUGAAAGCGGGGGACCGCAAGGCCUCGCGCUAUUGGAGCGGCCGAUGUCCGAUUAGCUAGUUGGCGGGGUAAAAGCCCACCAAGGCUACGAUCGGUAGCUGGUCUGAGAGGACGACCAGCCACACUGGGACUGAGACACGGCCCAGACUCCUACGGGAGGCAGCAGUGGGGAAUUUUGGACAAUGGGGGCAACCCUGAUCCAGCCAUGCCGCGUGCGGGAAGAAGGCCUUCGGGUUGUAAACCGCUUUCGGCCGGAACGAAAUCGCCGGUGAGAACAUCACCGGUGGAUGACGGUACCGAAGAAGAG
rnacentral:rRNA from 1 species